ACGAACGCUGGCGGCGUGCCUAAUCCAUGCAAGUAGAACGCACAGUUUAUACCGUAGCUUGCUACACCAUAGACUGUGAGUUGCGAACGGGUGAGUAACGCGUAGGUAACCUGCCUGGUAGCGGGGGAUAACUAUUGGAAACGAUAGCUAAUACCGCAUAAUAUUAAUUAUUGCAUGAUAAUUAAUUGAAAGGUGCAAUUGCACCACUACCAGAUGGACCUGCGUUGUAUUAGCUAGUAGGUGAGGUAACGGCUCACCUAGGCGACGAUACAUAGCCGACCUGAGAGGGUGAUCGGCCACACUGGGACUGAGACACGGCCCAGACUCCUACGGGAGGCAGCAGUAGGGAAUCUUCGGCAAUGGACGAAAGUCUGACCGAGCAACGCCGCGUGAGUGAAGAAGGGUUUCGGAUCGUAAAGCUCUGUUGUAAGAGAAGAACGGGUGUGAGAGUGGAAAGUUCACACUGUGACGGUAUCUUACCAGAAAGGGACGGCUAACUACGUG
rnacentral:rRNA from 1 species